AUGGCUGCAGAGACGGUAAGGUAUCCUGACUUCAUUGCCUUCAAACCUUUAGAAGACGAUGCAUGCUCACCGUCCCACUCGGAAGUUUACGUGCCUUACGAAUCCAAAACUACCGAUAUAAAUCAUGAAGACCACAGGACCUCUGAAGGAAAAGCCGUAAACAAAAAAGAGAAAGGAGGCUCCCCCGCCGAAGGCCACGGCAGCCAUGCAUCUGCUGCAGCCUGUGUCACAGUCAGCCUGUAUCCACUUUUCCUCUUUUGUGUCUCCGUCUGGAGGACCUUCAUCUACUGAAAGAAAAUGGGAAUAGAAAAUCGUUUUCUGAUCACAGCUCCUAUAAACCUGCUCCCUUACGAAAAACAAGUCAAAAUUGAUAAAAGCAUGAUUUUAAACCAAUCACUCAAUAAAGGAUUGUAAUAUAUACAAAGCUGUUAUAUAUCUUUAUGUGGGAAGCGGGUCUCCUCAACAAAAUUUAGAUUUUACAUAAAAGGUAUAUGUAAAUAUUGAUAAUGUUAUCGAACGAAUAUGACAAUAUACAUGCAUAAAUUUA